UACGAAGGGGGCUAGCGUUGCUCGGAAUCACUGGGCGUAAAGCGCACGUAGGCGGAUUGCUAAGUCAGGGGUGAAAUCCUGGAGCUCAACUCCAGAACUGCCCUUGAUACUGGCGGUCUCGAGUCCGGGAGAGGUGAGUGGAACUGCGAGUGUAGAGGUGAAAUUCGUAGAUAUUCGCAAGAACACCAGUGGCGAAGGCGGCUCACUGGCCCGGUACUGACGCUGAGGUGCGAAAGCGUGGGGA
rnacentral:rRNA from 1 species